AAAACGACUCUCGGCAACGGAUAUCUCGGCUCUCGCAUCGAUGAAGAACGUAGCGAAAUGCGAUACCUGAUGUGAAUUGCAGAAUCCCGUGAACCAUCGAGUCUUUGAACGCAAGUUGCGCCCGAAGCCUUCCGGCCGAGGGCACGCCUGCCUGGGUGUCAUGC
rnacentral:rRNA from 2 species